AGCUUUGUGCAGUGGCAGUAUCAUAGGCAAUGAGGUUUAUCUGAGGCAUGAUUAUUGCUAAUAGAACUCGAGGCAGCUAGAGAC
ensembl:snRNA U4 U4 spliceosomal RNA